rnacentral:rRNA from 14 species
GGUUAAGCGACUAAGCGUACACGGUGGAUGCCCUGGCAGUCAGAGGCGAUGAAGGACGUGCUAAUCUGCGAAAAGCGUCGGUAAGGUGAUAUGAACCGUUAUAACCGGCGAUGUCCGAAUGGGGAAACCCAGUGCAAUUCGUUGCACUAUCGUUAACUGAAUACAUAGGUUAACGAGGCGAACCGGGGGAACUGAAACAUCUAAGUACCCCGAGGAAAAGAAAUCAACCGAGAUUCCCCCAGUAGCGGCGAGCGAACGGGGAGCAGCCCAGAGUCUGAAUCAGCUUGUGUGUUAGUGGAACGGUCUGGAAAGUCCGACGGUACAGGGUGAUAGUCCCGUACACCAAAAUGCACAGGUUGUGAACUCGAAGAGUAGGGCGGGACACGUGGUAUCCUGUCUGAAUAUGGGGGGACCAUCCUCCAAGGCUAAAUACUCCUGACUGACCGAUAGUGAACCAGUACCGUGAGGGAAAGGCGAAAAGAACCCCGGCGAGGGGAGUGAAAAAGAACCUGAAACCGUGUACGUACAAGCAGUGGGAGCACCUUCGGGUGUGACUGCGUACCUUUUGUAUAAUGGGUCAGCGACUUAUAUUCUGUAGCAAGGUUAACCGUAUAGGGGAGCCGCAGGGAAACCGAGUCUUAACUGGGCGUUAAGUUGCAGGGUAUAGACCCGAAACCCGGUGAUCUAGCCAUGGGCAGGUUGAAGGUUGGGUAACACUAACUGGAGGACCGAACCGACUAAUGUUGAAAAAUUAGCGGAUGACUUGUGGCUGGGGGUGAAAGGCCAAUCAAACCGGGAGAUAGCUGGUUCUCCCCGAAAGCUAUUUAGGUAGCGCCUCGUGAACUCAUCUUCGGGGGUAGAGCACUGUUUCGGCUAGGGGGUCAUCCCGACUUACCAACCCGAUGCAAACUACGAAUACCGAAGAAUGUUAUCACGGGAGACACACGGCGGGUGCUAACGUCCGUCGUGAAGAGGGAAACAACCCAGACCGCCAGCUAAGGUCCCAAAGUCAUGGUUAAGUGGGAAACGAUGUGGGAAGGCACAGACAGCCAGGAUGUUGGCUUAGAAGCAGCCAUCAUUUAAAGAAAGCGUAAUAGCUCACUGGUCGAGUCGGCCUGCGCGGAAGAUGUAACGGGGCUAAACCAUGCACCGAAGCUGCGGCAGCGACACUAUGUGUUGUUGGGUAGGGGAGCGUUCUGUAAGCCUGCGAAGGUGUGCUGUGAGGCAUGCUGGAGGUAUCAGAAGUGCGAAUGCUGACAUAAGUAACGAUAAAGCGGGUGAAAAGCCCGCUCGCCGGAAGACCAAGGGUUCCUGUCCAACGUUAAUCGGGGCAGGGUGAGUCGACCCCUAAGGCGAGGCCGAAAGGCGUAGUCGAUGGGAAACAGGUUAAUAUUCCUGUACUUGGUGUUACUGCGAAGGGGGGACGGAGAAGGCUAUGUUAGCCGGGCGACGGUUGUCCCGGUUUAAGCAUGUAGGCUGGUUAUCCAGGCAAAUCCGGAUAAUCAAGGCUGAGGUGUGAUGACGAGGCACUACGGUGCUGAAGUAACAAAUGCCCUGCUUCCAGGAAAAGCCUCUAAGCAUCAGGUAACAUCAAAUCGUACCCCAAACCGACACAGGUGGUCAGGUAGAGAAUACCAAGGCGCUUGAGAGAACUCGGGUGAAGGAACUAGGCAAAAUGGUGCCGUAACUUCGGGAGAAGGCACGCUGGUGUGUAGGUGAAGUCCCUGCGGAUGGAGCUGAGACCAGUCGAAGAUACCAGCUGGCUGCAACUGUUUAUUAAAAACACAGCACUGUGCAAACACGAAAGUGGACGUAUACGGUGUGACGCCUGCCCGGUGCCGGAAGGUUAAUUGAUGGGGUUAUCCGUAAGGAGAAGCUCUUGAUCGAAGCCCCGGUAAACGGCGGCCGUAACUAUAACGGUCCUAAGGUAGCGAAAUUCCUUGUCGGGUAAGUUCCGACCUGCACGAAUGGCGUAAUGAUGGCCAGGCUGUCUCCACCCGAGACUCAGUGAAAUUGAACUCGCUGUGAAGAUGCAGUGUACCCGCGGCAAGACGGAAAGACCCCGUGAACCUUUACUAUAGCUUGACACUGAACAUUGAGCCUUGAUGUGUAGGAUAGGUGGGAGGCUUUGAAGCGUGGACGCCAGUCUGCGUGGAGCCAACCUUGAAAUACCACCCUUUAAUGUUUGAUGUUCUAACGUUGGCCCCUGACCGGGGUUGCGGACAGUGUCUGGUGGGUAGUUUGACUGGGGCGGUCUCCUCCCAAAGCGUAACGGAGGAGCACGAAGGUUAGCUAAUCCUGGUCGGACAUCAGGAGGUUAGUGCAAUGGCAUAAGCUAGCUUGACUGCGAGCGUGACGGCGCGAGCAGGUGCGAAAGCAGGUCAUAGUGAUCCGGUGGUUCUGAAUGGAAGGGCCAUCGCUCAACGGAUAAAAGGUACUCCGGGGAUAACAGGCUGAUACCGCCCAAGAGUUCAUAUCGACGGCGGUGUUUGGCACCUCGAUGUCGGCUCAUCACAUCCUGGGGCUGAAGUAGGUCCCAAGGGUAUGGCUGUUCGCCAUUUAAAGUGGUACGCGAGCUGGGUUUAGAACGUCGUGAGACAGUUCGGUCCCUAUCUGCCGUGGGCGCUGGAGAAUUGAGGGGGGCUGCUCCUAGUACGAGAGGACCGGAGUGGACGCAUCACUGGUGUUCGGGUUGUCAUGCCAAUGGCACUGCCCGGUAGCUAAAUGCGGAAGAGAUAAGUGCUGAAAGCAUCUAAGCACGAAACUUGCCCCGAGAUGAGUUCUCCCUGAGACUUUAAGUCUCCUGAAGGAACGUUAAAGACGAUGACGUUGAUAGGCCGGGUGUGUAAGCGCAGCGAUGCGUUGAGCUAACCGGUACUAAUGAACCGUGAGGCUUAACCUU